GCGAACGCUGGCGGCGUGCCUAAUACAUGCCAGUCGAGCGGACCGGAUUGGGGCUUGCCUUGAUUCGGUCAGCGGCGGACGGGUGAGUAACACGUUGGCAACCUGCCCGCAAGACCGGGAUAACUCCGGGAAACCGGAGCUAAUACCGGAUAACACCGAAGACCGCAUGGUCUUCGGUUGAAAGGCGGCCUUUGGGCUGUCACUUGCGGAUGGGCCCGCGGCGCAUUAGCUAGUUGGUGAGGUAACGUCUCACCAAGGCGACGAUGCGUAGCCGGCCUGAGAGGGGGGUCGGCCACACUGGGACUGGGCCACGGCCCAGACUCCUACGGGAGGCCGCAGUAGGGGAUCUGCCGCAAUGGGGGAAAGCCUGGCGGAGCGAGGCCGCGUGAGCGAAGGAGGCGUUCGGGUCGUAAAGCUCUGUUGUGAGGGGCGAAGGAGCGUCGUUCGAAGAGGGCGGCGCGGUGACGGUACCUCACGAGAAAGCCCCGGCUAACUACGUG
rnacentral:rRNA from 1 species